UACGGGGGGGGGCAAGCGUUGUUCGGAAUUACUGGGCGUAAAGGGCUCGUAGGUGGCCAACUAAGUCAGACGUGAAAUCCCUCGGCUUAACCGGGGAACUGCGUCUGAUACUGGAUGGCUUGAGUUUGGGAGAGGGACGCGGAAUUCCAGGUGUAGCGGUGAAAUGCGUAGAUAUCUGGAGGAACACCGGUGGCGAAGGCGGCGUCCUGGACCAAUUCUGACGCUGAGGAGCGAAAGCCAGGGGAGCAAACGGG
rnacentral:rRNA from 1 species